rnacentral:rRNA from 1 species
GAUCAUGGCUCCGGAUGAACGCUAGCUACAGGCUUAAUACAUGCAAGUCGAGGGGCAGCAUGGUCUUAGCUUGCUAAGGCCGAUGGCGACCGGCGCACGGGUGAGUAACACGUAUCCAACCUGCCGUCUACUCUUGGACAGCCUUCUGAAAGGAAGAUUAAUACAAGAUGGCAUCAUGAGUCCGCAUGUUCACAUGAUUAAAGGUAUUCCGGUAGACGAUGGGG